UGUGUACUGCAAACACAUCAACUGUCUGUUGCUCUGUUCCCCUUUCAGGCUUGAAUUGAUGAAACUAAGGUCAUUUAAAACUAAUAAAACUAAGGUCAUUUAUUUUGAAAGUUGAAGCUUAUUCCAUGAUUAUGGAAAAGGGUGUUACAUUUCAGAUGAGUGCUUGUGGUGAUUGGCCAGUCACAAUGCAAUGGGGCAGUUGGCCAAUCAGAGCAGACUACUCUUGUCGGAAAGAGGGACUUUGUAGAAAACUAUGCGUUUAAGAGAGGCAGGGCAUAGAGGACCUACAGUAAUGUACAGUAUUUUAAAUAUAAUGUGUUUUUUUAACAUUGCAGCAUGUCAACAUAUUCUGUUAAACCAAAUACACAAAAUAAUGAUCUUUAAAAAAGCAUCAUAUGACCCCUUUAACCUUACGCAAAAUAACAUGAUUUAUCAUUGUAAUUUUGACUUUAUUCUUAUAUUAUGAUGUUAAUUUAUUCAACGUGGCACUUAAAUGCUGCCAUAUAGGCUAUUUGUACAGUCAUGGUCAGAAAUAUCAGCAUCAUUGGUAAAUAUGAUUAAAGAAGGCUGUGUAAAGUAUUCCGCACUGUUAAUCCUUUUGAUUUUUUAAUCUAACCUUUCAUUGGAUAAUAAGAAUUUAAAAUGGGGGGAAAUAUUAUUAUGAAAUUAAUGUUUUAAAUAUAUUUUUUCAUUUUAUCCGGUUCACGAACGAAUCACUCAGUGUAACUAGAUCUUCUUCUUCAACCAGUUCACCAAAUCGAACUGAAACGUUUGAAACGUUUAUUAUUAUCUCCAAUAAUCAACAAAUGACUUAACCGGUUAACUUUUUUAAUGUGGCUGACACUCCCUCUGAGCAGGGCCGUGCAGAGUCCUUUGGAGGGGCAGCUGCUCAAAGUAUAAAAGGGGCACAUGGAACAAGGCUUUAAAUGGCGCUGUUCAAAAUAUCAAUACAGCAAUAUAUUGUGAAGCAUUCUUUGCUGAUUCGCGUAUCAAAAUUGAGUUUAAGUUCAUUGUUGUGAGGUGGUUUUGCUCAAGACAGACGACAGAAAGUGCAUUAGAGAGCAUUUGUUUUCCUUCUUUUUACAAAUUCACAAGGUUUUGUUGAUAUUGUGAAUGCAAACACAUAAAAAAAAAGGAUUUACACUUGCUGUUGUAAACAGCCCCCUGUGGCAGUGUAAAUACGCAGAGUUACCCUUAUUAACACUGUUGAGUGUUAAUAGUCACAUCCGGGACAUUUACUGGUGUGCAUCUGAAACAGCCUUUUUUUUUUUGCUUGUGAUGCGGCAAAUAUGAGGAUGGAAAACGGCGAAAGAAAGUGUAUAAUCUUACUCAUAAAAUGUGUUUUUUAAUAUCAUAUCGUUUUAUAAUGAUAUUUUUUUGCUGUGUGCGCAUAAACUUUUCUCAAUUUCAUUUUCUUUCACUCGCGAUGCGGAACAGACGAGGACGUCUAUUAUUUUCUGUAAGGGCAUUCUGAAAGUAAGUUAAGUGAUUUUAUCUCAUUUAAAAUAUGUGUUUAAUGACAUUAUAUUGAUUUAUAGCGAUAUUUAUGUGCUGUUCUCUCCACAACUUUUUCUCAAGAAGGAUAUUUUCUUCCUCUCAUGAUGGGGAGAAGAACCAUAAAUUUAAACUGCAGUGCAGCACAGACACGGGUUAACGUUAACUAACUUAGAGAGGGGAGAGACCAGAGAGAGAUAACGUUAGAUUCUUUUACUCGAAGCGGAACAGAUGGGGAAGUUGGUUUUAACAAGGAAAACACAGAAAUUGAGUUGGAUUGAAUUGCUUUGCUAAUAGAGUGUCAUGAACGCACACUCAUGCACAGAGAUCAACAGUCAGGUAAAUAAAUUAUGACAUUUUUAUCUUUUGGGGCGAAAUAACCCUUAAAACAAAUUGUUCACCUGAAUUGUUAUGAACUUAUACUCAUGCGGAUCCACAGACACCUUGUAAGACAUAUAUGUCAUACAGGAUUGGAACCAUUGGAAGAUAAAAAAAAAAAAAUGAUGACAGAAUUUUUGGGUAAAUGUUUUGAUUAAAUUAUUAUUGCAUUGUAAUUGAUACUUGUCCCUGAUAUUUCACUUGUUAAUAAUAGCUUGAUAAAUGGAUGUGAAAUUAUCCUGCACUCCCCCCCCCCCAUUUUACAGGAGCACUUUUGUGAUGCUGCAAGUAGGAGUGGAUUUCUUGCUUAGCUGGAAAAUGCAGAGAACAAUGUCUUGUCGUCCCUGGAAAAAAGAAAGAGACUACUUUCUCCAAGAAGGUCCAAACGCCAUUGGCACAGACUUUUUUCAGUGAUCAGUAACAUACAUUCUGCCAGGGCCGUCCUUAUGGGGGUGUAAUUGGUGCAGUCUCACCGGACUCCACACUUGAGGGGUAAAUGGACUGAAUGAUCCCCCCGCCUGGGAACACUCCCUACUUUGCACCAAGCCACACAUCAGAUAAGUACGGCCCGGCAUUCAUGGUUGAUGGUAAUGAAUGAGAUGCUGUGUUUUAAGCAGAUAAAUCUAAGCACUAUCCACCUUUUUCCUCAAUGCGGAAGUAAGCCUAUGGGUGAGACUUCGGUUUCAUUAGCCGCUAUAACGAGGUGAAUAACAACGUGCAGUAAAUGGUAAAACUGUUUGCAGUACAAACAAGUGUGUUCUUAAUAUAGAUAACAUAACAAAUGAGCCCAGAAGCUAAACCCAUAGAAUUUACAAAUGGCGACACCCAUUUUUACGUCAGGAAAAAGGUGGAUAAACUUAUUGAAAUUCAGAAUACAUAUGGACCAAAUAAGAAUAUGUAUUUUGUGCCUUUACACUGAUUUGCUUUAACAUUGUGUUAAUUUUGUAAGAACAUGUUGUUUACAUGUAUUGAAAACACUGAAUGUGAAGACAUUUUGGUGCAGGGAUAAAGUUACAAUGUUUCAGUUUAAAUAAAUAAAUGUAAAC